AUUCAGAGAAAGGGGCUUGGGGAAGGGGGGACUGAAGCUGGAAGAAAGGUGCCUCCACCCUGCACCUGGCUGAGUGUCUUCAAUUGUCCCAGGCCAGGGAGCCGCACCCCAGCUUUUCAGUCUCCUUAGAAGCUUUCACGGUAACCCCCCCCCAAGGUUCCAGCCACUUUCCACCCCCUCACUCUCCUCAGGAAGUUGUUCCUGGUGUCUCACCUUGAUUGCUGUGGCACUGAGGAAGUACUUCCAGGGAACGUAAGAGAAGAAAGAAGCUGGAGAGAGAGAAAGCUGGGUGGAGAGAGGGCCCGGGAAGUCCCAAUGAGCCACCAAGGAAGAGAACAGUGGGGACUCAUUGUCUCAGGAGGGGCUGUCAUCUCAAUAGUAGUGUCUACUCUCAGCUUGUACCUCCUUUCUAAAUUGGUAAACUGCUUCCAGAGCUCCUAACCCCUGGAGAGGAGGGAAGGGGAAGGAAAGAAUGGGAGAAAAGGUGGUUCCUACAAGAGGGUAUUGGUGCAUGGAAACACACAGCACUGAGCGUGUCCUCACACACCCACAGACACACGCCACGCCCAUGGAGAUGUCCGAGUCCCCACAGCACAGCCAGAACUUCCUAAGUGGGCUCUGCCAGAAGGAAUCUCAAACAGAGAGGGUGUCAUAGGCAACCACCAAGGAUUUAAGCUCAUGUGCACACACACGGGCUGCAAAUGCUCUCUCCUCCCUGUACUCGUCUCCCAUACUCCCUCACCUCAAGUCCCGACCCCAGGAGGGACUCAGAAGCCAUUUCCAGCGAGGCUUGCCCAAAACAGCCCUUACUGGGGACUUGUCCCAAGCUGAGUAGGCCGCCACAAUGUCCAAACCUGAGCCCGGCCCUCAAGGAGUGUCCCCAGUGGACUGAGGGGGCUCUGGGAGUUGCCGUCCCUGACCCCCUUGGAUCUCUCCUGGAGGGGGGUGCUACCUGGUGCUCUCACGGCACAGGGUCCCAGAGCAGAGGUCUCCAGCCUCAGCCCUCACUGGCUGCGAUGGAACCAAUCUCCCAGAUUUAUACCAUCCCUCAUCUCUCGCCCUUCCAAGGCAAUCAGCCUCCCUGCUCCUUGGCUCUGGCCUGGGUGGAGGAGGGCGCUCGCACGGGGAGCAGGAACACAGAUGAUCUAGUGAAACUGAUCCUUCCCGGACUCCUCCUCAGCCCCCACCCAGCUCUACUGCUCACCCGGCUCUCUCCUUCCCCACCUCCAGUUCCCACAGGGAUCACUGUGUAUCCUUGUUUCUAUGCAGAAGAAGGGAGGCCAAGGACCCUCAUGACCUGAACUGGUUGUGGUCAGGUUGGAGCAGGCCUGGAGAGGGUCCUGGAGGACAGAGGGAGAUGGUGGAGGGCCAGCCCCUCUGGGUUGGUCCAGGGGGUUCCAGAAGAGACCUCUUGCUCCACCUCUGGGCUCCUGGAUUGCCCCACACAUGGUGGUAGGGAUCAGGCCAUGAGUGGUCCCGUUCAACAGCUUGACUCCCUCGGGGCCCUCGCCCAUGCCCUCCUCCUGGCCUGACAUGAGGCACAUGAAGGGAAAGGAGAGAAGAGUCUUGGGGAGAGUUAUGGGGCUUAGGGAUGCUCCCAGGACCCACCCCUCCAGGAAAAAUAAGACAGAACAAUAGGGAAGCACAAGGAGUCCACGCAUCUCUGCGUUCCAAACCCCUCCACCCGCACUCCCGACAAUAACAGGGUGCUCUCGGGCCUACCAGAUGUACACAAUGAGUAUCCUUAUUUCUUUAUUUGUUGUAAUGUUUCUGGAGUUGUCCUGCAAUCUGGAGAGCAGGGAUCAUUAUCCCCAUUUUACAGAUGAGGAAACGGAGUCCUGGAGAAACAUGGGGAUUCAGCUGCAGUGAUGCUGCUGGGCCCUGACUGAGUUGGGUAGAACACAGACAUCCUGACUUUCAGCCCAGAGUGGUCCAAGAAAAGGGCCCACCCAUGAAAAAAGUUUGGGUGGUAUUUGCCACUAUUCUAAGACAGAAGAUCAAAGACAGAGACCUGGAAAGAAAUGAACGGAGACAUAGAACAGGAGAGAAGAGGCAGUACAAGAAUCCAGAGAAGUCCAGAAGCUGCUUCUGAGAUAAGGAAGGUGAGCAGCAGGCCUGGGGAGUUGCCCUGCAGAGAAUACCUCUGAGGAUAGUGUCUGGGAGCAGGAGUCAUGAACAACCAGGGACAGACAACUUCAUACUUAUUCUGAAAGGGAACGAACAGAGGCACCACGGAGGCCAACAAAGAAGCCAAGAAGCUGCUGCAGCUCCUGUCAUUCCACCCUGCUUUCAGUGAAAGUUUGGGAUUGGAGGACUGUCAGCUGGUGGGGCCGCCCACCGGGCUGGGCAGGGCAGCGGCCUUCACUGGUGGGGAAGGUGGAGAAGAUGCCUGGGGAAGCUGUGGCUGUCCUGAGGAAGAGGAAACACAGGAAACAGCUUGCUGACUCUCCUGGACCCUGUGAAAGGAGGACUCUUGCCCGAAGCCCUUGUAACCUGGCAUUGUAAACACCAAAGACGCACCCAGCUGCAGUCCUCUGCCUCCGUAGGACCCAUCAAGGGACACAAGACCAGACUCAGGAUUUGAGAAAUAGAACACCAAGGUGGUGGGGUGAGGAGGUGAGGGGGGUGGAAGGAGGCCUCCUUUCCCCCCAAGUCAUACAAAAACUGGGAAGUGGCUCCAUCCCUGGUAGCUGUGUUAUCAGGGUUCUUGUCACAAGUACAAGAAGUUUGUUCAGGAGCAGCUGGGGGCAGAAAGCAGGAACAGGCUGGCACGAAUGAGAAGUUUCCAUGAGGGUAGAACCAGGUCUGCUGUAUUCACUAAGUGCCUGUAAGUUACCUGGCACGUGGAAAGCACUCAAUAAAUAUUUAAAUGACUGAACAAAUGAAUAAAGAGCAGUUUGGGACAAAGUAAAGAAAGCUAAAACAAAUAAAAAUAGCUUUGGAGAGCCACACUUAUUGCAAUGAAGUAGACUGAGGAG